rnacentral:rRNA from 1 species
GUCCUUUUGAUUAUUAUUUAAGGUCGGGCCUGCCCAAUGAGGAUUUGAAUGGCCGCAGUAAUUUGACUGUGCUAAGGUAGCAUAAUCAUUAGUUUCUUAAUUAGGAACUGGAAUGAAAGGUUUGAUGAGGGAGCAACUGUCUCUAAUGUUUGUCUAGAAUUUUAUUUUUAAGUAAAAAAGCUUAAAUUUUGUUGAAAGACGAGAAGACCCUAUAGAGUUUAAUAGAUUAAUUUUUUACACAUUUUUGUAAGUUAUUUGGUGUGAUAUUUUGAUUUAUUUGGUUGGGGUGAUUGUAAAAUUGGCUGAACUUUUACUUGAAUAUACUCACUGAUGUGUGUUUAGAUGAUCCGAUGAUUUUGAUUAUAAGAAUAAAUUACCUUAGGGAUAACAGCGUAAUCUUUUUUUAGAGUUCUAAUCGAUAAAAGGGAUUGCGA